CGACGGGAAGGGGGAGUGACCCUCCUAGGUGUGAGGGGAAAUACAGGGUCACUUCCCAAUAGACUUAAGGAGAUGUUGCCCUAGGUCCUCCUCGGUCAUCGUGGGACAGAGGCGAUUGUUGGGAACUGCUAGUCUGGAAAGCGGGGCUGCUUCUCCGGGAUGAGCCCGAGCCCUGCCAAGCCCCUCAAGGCAUUGAAGCUUUAGCUCACCUUAUCCGAAUGGUCAUUGGGCAUCUGGACUUGAGUUAACGACUGAAUUUUUCUGGGAAGCAAGGGACACGUUCUAAAAUAACCCCAGGAUCACUCUCCGAACUUGGCCUGAGUCUAGGCAAGCAGUGUUACUCGGUCGCCUUGAUCUUGGAGCUGCUGUGUACUGGGGACCUCAUACUAGUUGGGUUAACUAUAUUCCCAUUAGCAGUACGCGGGAUCGCAGUACUCGGGACAAGCUGAGUUCACCUCCUAAUUUUCCUUUUAGAUGGAGGAAAACGGGCUGGGAUUCCCUGCAGCACUUAGCACACGCUGCUAUGAGUAACACGAUCUGGAAAGACAGCGCUAGCAAGGAAUGAGGAGUGAUACAGUGACUGGAGGCUAAGAGAUAAUGUCUGCAAGUCACCUAAAACCAUUGCAGACACAGGGAGAUUGAUGGAUUUGGAGGACUUCUGGUUGUGAAGACUCUGACGAUUGCUAAAGAGUUAAGUGAAAUACUAGCGUGGUUUUUUUGUGUGUGUUUUUUGUUUGUUUGUUUGUUUGUUUGUUUAUAAAAACAGGCAGAAUGUAGCCCUAUUAAUUGUAAACUGGCAAGAUAAACCAGGAUGCCAGUAACCACUAGACGACAGAUUGUCAAGAAAUCCAGUAAUAACCAUCCACAAGAGUUUAAAGUACAGUGAGGCAAAAUCCUGAUGGCUUUAAAAGAAUAAAGCCUACUGUACCAAUUAGUAAACUUUUAUGAUAGUGUUAGACCAUUAGUGAUAAUGAGGAAACAUUGGAUUUAAUAUAUUUGAACUGUGGUAAGAUGUGAUUCUUUCUUUUUGUCAACACAUUAAAAGAGAUAAAAAGUUCCCCUUUUUGGCUGACUAUUUGAUAUCUAGGGUACAAAUGAACAUCCAGAUAAAGAGGUCCUGAACUUCUGCCAAUACGGGACUGGCAGACUGGUGGAUAUGUGCAUCUUGCAAGCUAAAACACAUGCCAGGCACAGGUCAUGGCGCUAUCUACGGCCUUCCCCACCGCAUCCUGUGUCUGUAAAGACUCCAGACUCAGCUGGCAGAGGAGAGAAGUGGCUGGAUGUUGGGAAGAAGCAAGUUGACCUCAGAGAAAGCAGCUGGAUGUCAGAAAGAGGCAAUUUGACUUCCGA
rnacentral:lncRNA from 1 species